rnacentral:rRNA from 1 species
GAUGAAUGCUGGCGGCGUGCCUAAUACAUGCAAGUCGAGCGAACAGACGAGGAGCUUGCUCCUCUGACGUUAGCGGCGGACGGGUGAGUAACACGUGGAUAACCUACCUAUAAGACUGGGAUAACUUCGGGAAACCGGAGCUAAUACCGGAUAAUAUAUUGAACCGCAUGGUUCAAUAGUGAAAGACGGUUUUGCUGUCACUUAUAGAUGGAUCCGCGCCGCAUUAGCUAGUUGGUAAGGUAACGGCUUACCAAGGCAACGAUGCGUAGCCGACCUGAGAGGGUGAUCGGCCACACUGGAACUGAGACACGGUCCAGACUCCUACGGGAGGCAGCAGUAGGGAAUCUUCCGCAAUGGGCGAAAGCCUGACGGAGCAACGCCGCGUGAGUGAUGAAGGUCUUUGGAUCGUAAAACUCUGUUAUUAGGGAAGAACAAAUGUGUAAGUAACUAUGCACGUCUUGACGGUACCUAAUCAGAAAGCCACGGCUAACUACGUG